rnacentral:rRNA from 1 species
GAUGAACGCUGGCGGCGUGCUUAACACAUGCAAGUCGAACGAAGCACUUUAUUUGAUUUCCUUCGGGACUGAUUAUUUUGUGACUGAGUGGCGGACGGGUGAGUAACGCGUGGGUAACCUGCCUUGUACAGGGGGAUAACAGUUGGAAACGGCUGCUAAUACCGCAUAAGCGCACGGCAUCGCAUGAUGCAGUGUGAAAAACUCCGGUGGUAUAAGAUGGACCCGCGUUGGAUUAGCUAGUUGGUGAGGUAACGGCCCACCAAGGCGACGAUCCAUAGCCGACCUGAGAGGGUGACCGGCCACAUUGGGACUGAGACACGGCCCAAACUCCUACGGGAGGCAGCAGUGGGGAAUAUUGCACAAUGGGCGAAAGCCUGAUGCAGCGACGCCGCGUGAGCGAAGAAGUAUUUCGGUAUGUAAAGCUCUAUCAGCAGGGAAGAUAAUGACGGUACCUGACUAAGAAGCACCGGCUAAAUACGUA